rnacentral:rRNA from 5 species
CGUUUGAGAUUUGAGAGGGGCUGCUCCUAGUACGAGAGGACCGGAGUGGACGAACCUCUGGUGUUCCGGUUGUCACGCCAGUGGCAUUGCCGGGUAGCUAUGUUCGGAAAAGAUAACCGCUGAAAGCAUCUAAGCGGGAAACUUGCCUCAAGAUGAGAUCUCACUGGGAACUUGAUUCCCCUGAAGGGCCGUCGAAGACUACGACGUUGAUAGGCUGGGUGUGUAAGCGUUGUGAGGCGUUGAGCUAACCAGUACUAAUUGCCCGUGAGGCUUGACCAUAUAACACCCAAACA